rnacentral:rRNA from 1 species
AACGAACGCUGGCGGCAUGCCUAACACAUGCAAGUCGAACGAGACCUUUGGGUCUAGUGGCGCACGGGUGCAUAACGCGUGGGAAUCUGCCCUUGGGUUCGGAAUAACAGUUAGAAAUGACUGCUAAUACCGGAUGAUGACUUCGGUCCAAAGAUUUAUCGCCCAAGGAUGAGCCCGCGUAGGAUUAGCUAGUUGGUAGGGUAAAGGCCUACCAAGGCGACGAUCCUUAGCUGGUCUGAGAGGAUGAUCAGCCACACUGGGACUGAGACACGGCCCAGACUCCUACGGGAGGCAGCAGUGGGGAAUAUUGGACAAUGGGCGAAAGCCUGAUCCAGCAAUGCCGCGUGAGUGAUGAAGGCCCUAGGGUUGUAAAGCUCUUUUACCCGGGAUGAUAAUGACAGUACCGGGAGAAUAAGCCCCGGCUAACUCCGUGCCAGCCGCCGCCGUAACAC